GAUGAAGAACGCAGCGAAAUGCGAUAAGUAGUGUGAAUUGCAGAAUUCAGUGAAUCAUCGAAUCUUUGAACGCACAUUGCGCCUCCUGGUAUUCCGGGAGGCAUGCCUGUUCGAGCAUCAUUAAAAUCACUCAAGCUUAGGUUUACCUAUUGCUUGGUCUUGGAGAUGGAAGCCAAUUUAUUGGAAUCCUCUUCGAAAUUCAAUGGCGAAGACCCUUGCUCUCCCAAGUGUAGUAAUAACUUAUGUCACUGAAGGAAGCGAGAAAUCUUCUGCCGUAACCCCCAUAUUUUCUAUGAUUGACCUCGGAUCAGGUAGGGAUACCCGCUGAACUUAAGCAUAUCAAUAAGCGGAGGA
rnacentral:misc_RNA from 1 species